rnacentral:rRNA from 1 species
AGAAUCAACGCUGGCGGCGUGCCUAACACAUGCAAGUCGCACGAGAAAGGGGAGCAAUCCCUGAGUACAGUGGCGCACGGGUGAGUAACACGUGAAUCAUCUACCUCCGAGUGGGGAAUAACUGAGAGAAAUCUUAGCUAAUACCGCAUAAUACCCACGGGUCAAAGCAGUAAUGCGCUUGGAGAGGAGUUCGCGGCAGAUUAGUUAGUUGGCGGGGUAAUGGCCCACCAAGACGAUGAUCUGUAUCCGGCCUGAGAGGGCGCACGGACACACUGGAACUGAAACACGGUCCAGACUCCUACGGGAGGCAGCAGUGGGGAAUUUUGCGCAAUGGGGGAAACCCUGACGCAGCAACGCCGCGUGGAGGAUGAAGCCCCUUGGGGUGUAAACUCCUUUCGAUCGGGAAGAUAAUGACGGUACCGAUAUAAGAAGCCCCGGCUACUUCGCGCCAGCAGCCGC